UACGUAGGGGGCAAGCGUUAUCCGGAUUUAUUGGGUGUAAAGGGUGCGUAGACGGGAAGGCAAGUUGGUUGUGAAAUCCCUCGGCUUAACUGAGGAACUGCAACCAAAACUAUCUUUCUUGAGUGCUGGAGAGGAAAGUGGAAUUCCUAGUGUAGCGGUGAAAUGCGUAGAUAUUAGGAGGAACACCAGUGGCGAAGGCGACUUUCUGGACAGUAACUGACGUUGAGGCACGAAAGUGUGGGGGGCAAACAGG
rnacentral:rRNA from 1 species